AGCCUGUUGAGUCAAGUUUGGAAUGAAUCUUCUGUGCCACAAGAUUGGAUAAAUGGCAUUCUAAUCUCUCUAUACAAGGGUAAGGGCCCGAAAGCAGUGUGUGGUAAUUCUAGAGGGAUAACUUUUCUGGCACAUACUGGGAAGAUACU